AUUCUCGUUUCCUUUUGUAUCUUUUCCUUAUCUCCUCUUCUUGGUUCUUGCUAUACCAACAGCCUUCUCUCUUUAUUCUUCUUCAUGUUUUCUUCUUCCUCUAAUUUUGGUUAGUCAGUGGAUGGUCUGCCACUGUGAGAAAAGAUGACUGACAGGAGAGAGAGUGUGAUCACAGGGAGGAAGAUAAUUGUGAUUAGACUAUCAGCGACUUUUAUCAGAUUAGAUUAGGUAUUUGAGUGGCUUCUUUUAUCAAUCUUACUUAAAAUGUUCUCACUUUUAUAAGUACCAUAAUACUAUAAAAAUAUGGAACUAUUUUUUUAUACAGGAGGGAGAGAGUGAUCACGGGGAGGAAGAUAAUUGUGAUUAGACUAUCAGAGACUUUUAUCAGAUUCGAUUAGGUAUUUGAGUGGCUUCUUUUAUCAGUCUUACUUAAAAAUAUUCUCACUUUUAUAAGUACCAUUAUACUAUAAAAAUAUGGUACUAUUUUUUUAUGCAGGAGGGAGAGAGUGAUCACGGGGAGGAAGAUAGUGUGAUUAGACUAUCAGAGACUUUUAUCAGAUUAGAUUAGGUAUUUGAGUAGCUUCUUUUAUCAGUCUUACUUAAAAUAUUUUGUAAGUACCAUUAUACUAUAAAAAUAUGGAACUAUUUUUAUACAAGGAAAUGCAACUUCUUGUUUUUACCAUAUAUGUUAAAAAAGUACACUUCUAAACUAGAUUGAACUACAUAGAAACUGAGACAAACGUAACUGGAGUUAUUAUUUUUAGGGUCAGGACAUGAGGGAUAGAUGGUUGAUUUUACUUAAGUUCUUCCUAUAAAGCUGAAAGACCCUUGAAAUUAAGCAAAGAAACGACCCCAAGCAUGCCUAUUCCAUUUGUAUUAUACAGGGAGCAACUUUCUAGGUUUUCUUUAAUGUAAUUACUGCUGCUGGGAUAGGAAUUUUUGGUCUCCUACACAAUAGUGUAGUGGAUGGUUGGCAUUGUCCCUUACCCAUUUAUUAAUAGCAGUUUUCUAGCUUAUAUUACUUUCGGGUUAAUGUAAUAUCUCAAGACCACAAAUGAUUAACUAUCUGCUUGUUUGAUGUUAUCACUCUGGAAAGUUAUUGGACAAGAACUCCCACAGGACUUUUAACUGAUGUCCAAUAAACUCAAAAAUUUACUGCUGCUGGUGCCUACUACUUGUAUGAGAGUUCACGUGCUUCUUUAAAUGUGUUAUGAAGUACCUAUACCAUUACGUAUUUUUACUUUCUUUUCUUUCUCUUGCUUAAACGAUCUUGUUUUUUCUUUACUGGUAGUAUGCUUUUCUAGGGAAUUUCUCAUACUUGGUUAUCUAGUGAAAGUUUAAUCCCAGAAAUAAUCAUGUCUUCCAUAGAUAUUUCCAGUCUUCAUGCAAUUUAAUGCUCUUGGAGUCAUUUACAUGUCAAUCAAUACUUAUUCAACUUUUCGCGUGAUUGCUAUUACUUGUAUUUAGUCAUUCUUAUAAUUCUUCUUUGAAACAAUACACCAAUUAAAUCUAUAAUUGUCUGCUUCCUUUGUGAUGCUGACAUUACACUUUUGGAUCUUGAGCUCUUGAGUUCCUGUUAAUUGGUUCUCCUAGCUUGUCGUCAUAGAGCCACUCAAAUCCUACUUGCAUUUGUGCGAGUUUCACUUCUAACAAUAUCUAUAACCUAGGUUUAUUUUUUUUUAUUUUUUUAUUUUUUCAAAAAAAAAAAAAAAAUUUAUUUUUUGCAUUUCACUCAAAUCAGUUCUAUUUUUUGCAUUACCUGUUCCAUUAAUGUUCUUCAACAAAGUUGUCACAACUCAGCAUUGGAGAUGAGAAAUUUUGAGUGACUUAUUGAUUGCCUGGACAGGUUGUACCAGGUUUCAUUGAAUUCUUGACCUUUAUAAUUCGUCUCAUCUGCAUCUUCUGCUAAACAACUUGGAGGAGUUUUCAUGAAAUCUGUUCUUCUCGUCUUAUUACUUGAUCCUUAUUCUUAUCAUAUCAUUUUUAAUAUGAGCAAACAUCCAUCUUAUAAUUCUCAUUUUAGAUAGGUUCAUCUUAUGGAUAUGUCGUCCUAUGCAACACUCAGUCCUAUAUAAAGCAUAAAAGGUAUGAUCAUUGUUCUAUAGAGCUGACAUUUUAAGAUUACAGGAAUUUUCUUAUCGAGCAAUCACUCUAGUACUUCUCCAUUUCAUCCAACCUGCUCUAAUCUUAUGCGUUAUAUAUAACCUUGAAUUGCUCCUUCUAACAUUCUUCAUUCAUUUAAUUGAUUUUUUUAACCAUCCUUGUAGUUUCAUCUUUACAACUUCUUCAGCACUAUUUGGAGGAGAAUAAAUUGUAGUGAGAUAGAUCAAAUAUUUACAUCAGUCAUCUAGCAGGCAAUUCGAGACCUUUAAUUCUAUCAUACUGAUCCUAAGAUCAUACUUGGUUGUUACAUACUUCCCCUGGCUCCAUGAAGCAUCAUAGGCAGUCCCAUCUUACUCGCACAUCUUGUGUGGUCUACAAGACCAUCCUAAGUCAAUGGUAAGGAAUCAGUCUUUUCUUUGCAAGGUGCUUUCAAUAUUAUUUCAUCAGGGCAUCAUAAAGAAGAUUCUGUGCCCUAGAAAUUAAUUCUUUAGGCCUUCGGAAGAAAAAUCAGGGUACUUAAAAGCAUCAUAAAUUAUUACACUAUGCGAUAAGUCAGUAAUACUGCAGAAUGUAAAACUUGAGUUAAUCUGUGUUAUGUGUAUACCUUUAUUUGUCUUUGUUCUUCUUUUUCAGUAACCAAGAUUUUUUGUGAUAUUUGCAGAAAGGACUGUUCACAUAUUCAAGCUUCAUUUGAAGAUGGUCUAUUGCAUCAAUAUCUGUGAACUAUUAUAAAGUUCUAUGGGAUAGAUAACGGAAAGCAAAAUUUUCUCAUCCUGUAAGAGGAUGAGACUCUAAACAUUAUGUAAAAUAUAAACUGUUAUUGUGCCUUCAGGCUUAGUGUUGGUAUGUUUGAAUCUUUUGUUUCAAGUUGUUUGAUUUAGAUUCUAGGUACUUCCAUGUCUAGAAGCAUGUUAUCUCCUUCGAUUGCACAGAAAUUCUUUUGUUUUCUAUGAAAUUUAUAUAGAGAAAAAUGCAACGAAAGACAUUUUCCAUACAUCCAUCUUUAUUUCAAGGUAAAACACACUGGGAGUUGGG
rnacentral:lncRNA from 1 species